UAGAACAACUUUCAGCAACGGAUAUCUUGGCUCUUGCAACGAUGAAGAACGCAGCGAAAUGCGAUACGUAGUGUGAAUUGCAGAAUUCCGCGAAUCAUCGAGUUUUGAAACGCAAGUUGCGCCCGAGGCUUGUCCGAGGGCAUUUCCGCUAGAGCGUCACCGCGCCCCCCCACCAGACUCCCUUGCGUUGGAGUUUUGAGUGGAACUGGCCGUCCCGGAGUGUGCUAAUACUCGGGUCGGCUGAAAUGGAGGGAAUUUGGCCGCCGUGGCAUCACUCGCCCCGCGAUCAGGUGCGAUUUCGAACUCCCACGACACUUGGUGUCGUGGGGGACUUGGGUCUUCCAAGUGCGGGGCUCCCAAGUGGUGAGCCCGAGUGCGCGUGCCCGAGUUCCACAGCAGGCUACCUCUUUUACAUACUUGGGGCCUUCCACUCCGAGUGGAGGGCACCGGAACGAAAGAGGAAACACGAAGAGGUAACGCAUCAGACCUCUAAUCGGAAAAGACUACCCGCCGAGU
rnacentral:rRNA from 1 species